rnacentral:lncRNA from 1 species
CGCCCCGUUCCCACGCUGCCGCCGCCCCGGCCCCGCCCGCUCCCUGCACCGGACGGAGACUCCCCUUCAGGACGCUCCUCGCGAGCGGUACCCAGAGGCGAGGUCGAGACAGGCCUGGGAGGCCCCACCCCCGCCCCCGUUUCCUGGGGACGAGGCCUCCGAGGGCUUCUCGGAGGAGGUGGCGGCCUUGGCCUCGGGCCUGCCGGGGGCGGGAAGGGAGGCCGACUCCCUCGGCCGCCCGCCGAGCCCAGGUAGGAGGGCCGAGCUGAGCCGCAGGGGUGCGGGUAAGCGGAUAAGGGGUCCGUCUCGGCAGGGUGCAGGUGGCGAGGGGGAUGAGGGAGCGGCGGCGGCGGCGGCGACAGGCAGGGACGCCCUGGGAGGCGGGCUAGCACUGAGCAGCCGAACCAGCCCUCGGGGCCGCCCCGUACCAGGGGCGCCAGGGGAGAAUAGCCAUCCAGGGCCGGGCGCUGGGAGCCGCGGCCCGUGUUUGUCAAUUUCUCUCCUGAUUGGUUUCCAGCCACCGGUCCGAGGCUGGCUAAAGAGCAUCCCGUCGCUGAUCCGCCUGGGUCCCACGUGGUGUCAUCCUCUGUGCCUGUUCCCUAAUUUUCAGCACCAUGAAUGCCAAAUGCAGGACCAUCUGAGGGCCAGGGUAUGUGCUGUGCUAUUGGCUGGCUACUCUCUUUGCCACUCUUAGCCUCCAGCUCUCCGCCUGAAUGUCACCCCUUCAGAGAGCACCCCUACUACUGUAGGACCCCCUUGAUUCUGCACUGCCCUCACCUCUCUUCUCUUCCUUGAAAGCAAGUCUCAUGUCGCAAGGGGAGGUGGUGCGUGUGCAUUUGGAGUUUCCUUAAGAAUCCCAACCUGGGGGAAGGGGAUUGGCAGUGGAGCUUCUAGGAAUGGCUGAAAAGUUGGGGUCAGGGGGCACUGGCCACAUGGGGAGACAGCUAGGAAAAGCAGCAAAAGAAGAAAGGAAAGAAGGAAUGGGAUCCCUUGAAAGCCUGGUCAGGCAAGUGCCAGUAUGGGAAGUGGGCAUGGCAGCUCAGUUGCAGAAAGUGUCCUGGGUUUGAAGGGUGCCCCCCAAAAAGACAUAUUGAAGUCUCAACUCCUGGUAUCUGUGACUGUGACCUCAUUUGGAAAGGAAGUCUUUGCAGCUGUAAUCAAGGUAAGAUGAGGUCAUACUGUAGGAGCAGGGUGGGCCCUAAUCCAGUGACUGGCAUUCUCAACAGACCAGGGAAAUUUGGACACAGACACACACACAGAGAGGAUGGCUGCACGAAGACAGAGGCCGAGAAGGAUUGCUGGCAACCACCAGAAGCUAAAAGAGGCGAGGAUGGGGCUUCAGUGGAGCGGGGACCUCCCAGCACCUGGAUCUUGGACUUCUGACCUCCAGAACCAGGAGAGAAAAAUGUGUGUUGCUUAAAAGCCCCGAUUUGUAGUCCUUGUUAUGGCCGCCCCAGGAAGUCAUACAGAAGGUCUGAUGGUCAGGUGCCCUUGGUGAAGCUGCAGGAGUGAGAACACCACAGGUGGCUGCUGUGCUUCUUAUUUCACAAGAAAAACUAAGCAGGGUCUUGAAGCAGGUCACAGAUUGGCUGCUCCAGGCUGGCCUGGGCUCACAGGAGGCUCUUUGCAUUUCCCUUAGCUCCUCUGUGCCCUGGGGAUGGCGGCCAUUCUUCUGACCACGAGACCCAAGGUGA